CUCGCGAGCGCCUCCGCCUCCUCAUCGAGUCUUGAGUCGAAGGUGCCGUUGUCGCUCCGCCCCUCCAGCGCCUCCGCCUCCGCCUCCCCCAUCGAGUCCUGAGUCGAAGGUGCCACUGUUGCUCCGCUCCUCCGCCUCCCCGUGCAAGCCGCACCGCCGCUCGGCCCUGCCACUGCUUCCUCUGUCGCCUCCGCCUCCUCCUCCCCAUCGAGUCCCCGAGUCGAAGGUGCGGCCGUCGCUAUGCCCCUCUGCCUCCUCAUCCAAGCCGCACCACCGCUCGGACCUAUCGUCGCUCGCCUCCACAGGUCGCGCUGCCACGUCCUGCCGCCGUGUUGUCAGUCUCCCCCAGCUGCCUGUCCUUCACCACCCUUCCAAGAUCCAGCAUAGCGCCGCCAUCUCCGUCGCCUCCAGAUCCACAGCGUUGGUUUCUACACCGCCGCCAAGGACCUGCUAGUGCUACUAUCAGAUCAAGAAAAAGCCAUACCUAAAGUCAAGCUAGCACUGAUCCAAGGCAUACCUAGAUUCACGAUCAUACUUGUGCUCUCUUUUGUGCUUCAACUAGUCCCUAAUGAUGUCCCAGCACAGCUGUGGCAAUGACAUGUUAUGGCCUUCAGUCUGCAUGCAGCCUUGCUGUGUUGAGUUUGCUUGAUGUUGUUACAGGUUCAUGAUCUUGAUGAGUGUGCUUCUCUCUUGUAUUGCAUCUCUGUUGGGUGAUGAUAGGAAUAGUGUUGGGUGAUUAUAGGAAUAGAUUGGUAGUCAGCCUACUUGCUCCUGAAGCUUGAAUUCAUGCUGCACUAAAUAUGUUCAGAUUUUCUCAAGCAUUUUACAUGUUUUUCCUGAAUUUUCAGAGCAAUUAUUUCUUUGUUU